UGAUAAUUUAUUACUAUUUAAUCGUUUAGCUGGUAGACUGGUAAUCUACUAUUUACUGUUAACAGUAGAAUGCACAAAAUUAUAAGGAAAUUUUCAGCAAAGAAUGUUUAAUUAUAACAGAUGAUUUGUGUGCUUAUACUGCAUCAUGGGGCCCAUCAAGAGACACCAAAAGGGUUCAGUAAAACCAUCAAGCAUGACAGAUUCCGAAUACCAGGCUAGAGUUCACGGCUCAGGCUUCGAUAUAAGUAGAAUCUGUAAGGAUGAUUUCAAGAUUGAGCACCCAACUUUGAUUUCGAGUCUUCAUGAUACUGUCACCACUUCAACAGAGGAACCACAUAUCCCUUCCAAUAUUGAAAAACAAGCUGAAAUAACUUCUGUUAUUAAAAUUGUUAAUGUUCAUUUGAAUAAAGAUGAAAAUGGAGUGGAGCAUAACACUUACUGUUAUGAAUGCAUGAAAAUAAACAAACCAAAUAUGUAUUUGGUAGUCAGACGGGGGAGCUUGUUUUCGAUUUUUGUUGAAUUCUCAAGAGGCUUUGACCUACAAGAUGAUAAACUUUUAUUAACAUUUUUUAUAAAAGGCUGUGCAUAUCCCAGGACUGGAAAUGGGACUAAGGUUGUGGUGCCCGUACUUCCAAAAACGUUCUUUGCGAACAACUCAUAUUCAUGGAAUGCUUAUUGUGAACCAGUGUCAGGCAAUGGAAAAUACGUUAAAGUAUUUAUUCGACCACCAGCAAAUGCAAUUGUGCACAAAUGGAAAAUGCUAGUCAGUGCUGUGAUUAGUAAAACAAUUUGUAACUUUCAGUGUCCUGGUGAAAUUUACAUCCUUUUUAAUGCUUGGUGUAAAGAUGAUGAAACAUAUAUAGAAAGGAAUGAAAGAAGGAUGGAAUAUAUUAUAAAUGAUGUCGGAUUAGUGUUCAAAGGCACUGAUCAAUCUUACGAAAAAAAUGUUUGGAAAUAUGGACAGUUUGAACAAAAUAUUAUAGAUUGCUCACUCAUUAUAAUAAGCGAUAUUGCAAAAAUACCAUAUUCACAAUGCCAAAGUGCAAUACAAGUUGCUAUUGGAGUGAGAAAAGCUCUUAUAAAUCCACUUUUUAUUGAUAAUUUGAGACGUCUAAAAAAAUGUUGUAAAAAAGAAAUAAUUCAUAAAAAUAAUGGCAGCCAAUCGCCCCUAAAACAAUUCUUCAAAUCUGGGAUGCCAAUAGUAAAUGCAACACAUUCACUAAAAAUUGGAAUUAUUGUGACUGUACUGAGAUCAUUGGGCAUCGCUGCUCGUACAAUAACUGGUUUUAGGAUUUUAUUCAGUGAAGACCCAUCUUCCGUUAUAGACUACUUUUACAGUGAAGCAGGCCACCAUCCUUGGAGAGGGACAGAUGUGGUAAAAGAGUAUGCUGAGUGGGUUGAAGUCUACUUGAAUAGGAAUGAUGUUGGUAAAGAACAUUCUGGUUGGUGCUACCUUGAUGUUCAAUAUGGGCCUUCUCCUGUCACUGCUAUUAAAAAUAAACAAUCUCAAAUUCCAUACGAUACAGCGUUAGUGGUCCAGAAAUUGAAUGCUUCUAUAGUGUACUGGAAAGUUUUGCAGGGUGACAAGCCUCUUAAAUUUAUACGAAAAAGUAGUUUGAGGGUUUGCUCAAAAAUACUGACGAAAAAAAUUAACUCUUUUGAGGAAGAGGAUAUUUCUCAAAAUUAUAGGGAGGGGAAAAUAAUAGAUAGAAAAAACUCUAUUGCUUACACAACUCCCCCUCCACCGGAAAAGAGACAGACAAAACAGUCCACCAUAGAUCUCAGAGCUGCAGAAAAUAUUACCCUUUGGAAGGAUGGCAUUCCUUUUCUAUGUAACAAUACUGAUAGUACUGCAAGAGCAUUUUUUACUUACUCAUAUAAUAAUGAGCCAUCAAAUAAUGUGAGUUUAGAGUUUUGUCCACAGGGAUUUCCAAACGACGUGUUAAUAGGGAAUCCUUUUAGAGCUACAGCAGUUCUGUCAAACCUUGCUGAAGGAACUAAUUAUACAAUUAGAAUAAUUUGGCAAGUAUGGUCAAAAAUAACAUUUACAAAAAGAAUGAAUAUGAUUACCCGGGUAGCAAAAACAUUUAUAUUGAAUGCAGAAAGCAGUGUAACACAAGAACUUGUCUUAACGUUUAACGAUUAUAUUAAACAGCUGAAUGAAGUUGGCACAUUCAGUGUUCUCUGUCAGGCGACAGUCCUUGAAACCAAUUAUGAUUAUUUUUUUGAAAACGAUUUUAGGGUUAUACAACCUGAGUUACGAAUAAAACUCAUUGGAGAUUUAGAAUUGUAUAAGAAAUCAAUAUUAGAAGUCUUUUUAAUAAACACACUGCCGAUCAAUAUAGUGCAACCAAAAAUGAUUAUGGCGGAGUGCGAUUGUCAUAAAUGCGUGUUCAUAAAUUUUGACGUAAUAAAACCACAGGAUAGAGUUGUAGGUAGAUUUACAAUUAUACCCUACGGCAUUGGAAAAUACACAAUAACGGCAAGAUUGAUUGGAAAUAAUAUAGAAGCAACUACAUUUCUAGACACGAUUGUUCUUAAAUGAAGGUAUCAAGGAUAUACAAUUUUGAGAAUAUAUUAAAAUUUGUCGAUUGAUAACUUGUUAAGAAGCUGUCAUGUUCUUAGGCAAGACGAGGAGUCACAAUAUCAAAUCAAAUUUCAGGAAUAACUGACCAAUUUUUUUUAGAUACUUAUGUUUUUUACUGAGAAUUUACCAAUGAUAGGGGAAUUCAGAAAUGAAAUGCUCACUUGUUCUACAAUGCAAGCUGAUAUGCUGAUUAAAAUCAAGUUAUUUUCCUGGCAGUGCUGCAAACAGUAUUUGCACAAUCUAUUUAAAGCCUUUUGAAUAAGGAAAAUACGGAAGAAAAAUAUCCAUGAUGGUAUAGCACUGAUCUUUCUAAUGAAGUUUAUGUACAUGAUUAAUCUUUAUACCCAAUACAGAUUUUAUUAAUUAUG